rnacentral:rRNA from 1 species
GAUGAACGCUAGCUACAGGCUUAACACAUGCAAGUCGAGGGGAAACGGCAUUGAGUGCUUGCACUCUUUGGACGUCGACCGGCGCACGGGUGAGUAACGCGUAUCCAACCUUCCCAUUACUGUGGGAUAACCUGCCGAAAGGCAGACUAAUACCGCAUAGUCUUCGAUGACGGCAUCAGAUUUGAAGUAAAGAUUUAUCGGUAAUGGAUGGGGAUGCGUCUGAUUAGCUUGUUGGCGGGGUAACGGCCCACCAAGGCUACGGUCAGUAGGGGUUCUGAGAGGAAGGUCCCCCACAUUGGAACUGAGACACGGUCCAAACUCCUACGGGAGGCAGCAGUGAGGAAUAUUGGUCAAUGGACGGAAGUCUGAACCAGCCAAGUAGCGUGCAGGAUGACGGCCCUAUGGGUUGUAAACUGCUUUUGUAUGGGGAUAAAGUUAGGGACGUGUCCCUAUUUGCAGGUACCAUACGAAUAAGGACCGGCUAAUUCCGUG